AGCGAACGCUGGCGGCAGGCUUAACACAUGCAAGUCGAGCGGGCCCUUCGGGGUCAUCGGCGGACGGGUGAGUAACGCGUGGGAACAGGCAGUCUGGUUCGGAAUAACUCAGGGAAACGUGAGCUAAUACCGGACACGCGCUUUUGGGGAAAGGUUUACUGCCCGAAGAUCGGCCCGCGUCAGAUUAGCUAGUUCGGGGGGUAACGGCCUGCCAAGGCGACGAUCAGUUGCUUGGCUGGGUGGAUGAUCCGCCACCCUGCGACUGAGACACGGCCCGGACUCCUACGGGAGGCAGCAGUGGGUAAUAUUGGACCGCGGGCGCAAGCAUGAUCCAGCCAUGCCGCGUGAGGGAUGAAGGUCUUGGGGUUGUAAAGCUUUUUUAUCCGGGACGAUCAUGACGGUACCGGAGGAAUAAGCCCCGGCUAACUUCGUG
rnacentral:rRNA from 1 species